ACCAUGUACAUAAUUGACGAUUCCAACCGCAGUCUACCUUAUGGAUUAAUUCAGGUCUCUCCAUACCAAGGAUUGUAUAGAAAUCCUGAUCACCCAAAUGUCCCUAAGAAAUAAAUUGGGGAAAGGUUAUUAAAAUGUUAUUAAAUCCCGUCUUCAAAUUGAACAACCUGAAUGCUCGAAUUCUCGGACGUGAGAUUGGAAAUAGAGACAAUAAGAUUUGAGUCUACUGGAUGGAAUUUGUACGGCACAGAUCAGAUUCAGAACAGAUUAUUCAUUCGCGGAAUACCGAAAUCAUAAUGUCAUAUUACUGUGUGCCGAUGUUCUUCCCAGAAGGGGAUCCAAUAUGGAACAAAAUUCGUGUUCGAAAGAGGUGAGUGUAAAACAUACGCACCUUGAAGUAAUAUUUUUCAGUUACAUGAUCAACGUUGUCCUUGCUGAGUAUACUGUCAUAUUCUGGAGAUUCUCUAAGUCGUUCAAAAUUGAAAAGCACCACACCACUGUUAAACCCUGGAAAUCCACCCAAAUAUGCCGGCUCC